rnacentral:lncRNA from 1 species
GGCCAAUAUAGAAUACAUUAUUUUUCUUUUAACAUCAUUUUUUUCUAGUAGUUAGGUCAAUAAGCAUUGAGAAAUGAGUAAGAGAAGAAACCCUAAGUGCAAUCUCUUAAUUGGCUUUCUGCAUACUUAACAUCAUGUAUGGGAAAACAAGUCAUGGGGGCAGGAUGCAGUAGCCUAUAGAAUUUGAGGCAUUCUUCUAUUUUAAAAGUAAAAAAGAAAAAAGAAAGGUUCCUGCUAGCAGGAAAAUGCUAAGGUAGCUCAGAUGGUGAAUAUUAUUCUGUUGUCAUGAUUCCCGUGGUUUUGUCAGCAUAUGUGUUUUUAACACAGGCACACCACUCACUGAAGAGAUGAAUGACCUCAUGUUAGGUAACCCCAUUCCCAGCUUCUAAGUGGGGAUAAUAACAACAGGCCGAGCGUGGGUUAUUUAAUGAAAAGGAGAGUUAUAGUGAUCAUGCUGGU